AUGGCUAAGUCACACACAUUGGUUGCGGUAUUGUUGCUUGUCAUGGCAGUGUCCCUCGCUGCACUAGAGGGUGUUCAUGGCGUCUGCGGCAUGUCAAAUGAUGAAUUCAAGCUUUGUUAGCCCGCGGCGGCAGUGAAUAACCCGACAGACAGUCCAUCGGCUGAGUGUUGUGCUGCCCUUGGGAAGGCCAACCUAUCAUGCAUCUGCCGCUACAAGGGCAUCGCCGGCAUAUGGCUGAGAAUGUACCACAUCGAUGCAAACCGUCCCAUGGCGCUACCCAAAAAGUGUGGUCUCGCCAUGCCAAACAACUGCUCUUGAUGA
rnacentral:rRNA from 1 species